UCCCCAGGUACCACCAGGUGCCACCCAGGUGUGCCCAGGUGACACUCAGGUGUCCGUAGAUGUCCCCAGCUGCCACCAGGUGCCACCCAGGAGCUUCCAGGUGCCCUCAGGUGUCCCCAAGUGCCACCCAGCUGUCCCCAAGUGACACUCAGGUACCAUCCAAGUGUCCCCAGGUGUCACCCAGGUGUCCCCAGGUGCCCUCAGGUGGCCCCAGGUGCUCCCAAGUGACACUCAGGUGCCAACCAGGUGUCCCCAGGUAUCACCCAUGGGUCCCCAGAUGCCACCCAGGUGUCCCCAGGUGAUACUCAGUUGCCACCCAGCUGUCCCCACGUGUCCCCAGGUGCUCCCCAAGUGUCCCCAGGUGCCAUCCAGGUGUCCCCAGGUGACACUCAAGUGUCCCCAGGUACCCCCAGGUGCCCUCAGGUAUCCCCAGGUGACACUCAGGUGCCAUCCAAGUGUCCCCAGGUGCCAUCCAGGUGUGCCCAGGUGCCACCAACCCCACGGUUGGGG